rnacentral:rRNA from 1 species
UACGGAGGGUGCGAGCGUUAUUCGGAAUCACUGGGCGUAAAGCGCGCGUAGGCGGGUUGACAAGUCAGGUGUGAAAUCCCACGGCUCAACCGUGGAAUUGCACUUGAUACUGUUGACCUAGAGUCUGGCAGAGGGUGGUGGAAUUCCCAGUGUAGAGGUGAAAUUCGUAGAUAUUGGGAGGAACACCAGAGGCGAAGGCAGCCCCCUGGGCCUGUACUGACGCUCAUGCACGAAAGCGUGGGGAGCAAACAGG